GAAUAAAUAGAAAAAAAAUGUUGAACAAAAAUUCAUCUGAAGAAAGGAACUGAAAAAAAAAAUUGAAAAGAGAGGAACAAACUCUCCUCAUCAAAAUUAGACAAAAAAAUAUUUCUUCAUUAGUUCAAUUAUAUACAAGGAAAAGUGAGGAAUGAAAUGGACCCACAUGCUACUAGUUUGCAAAAAAAAUUCAACUUAACUGGUAUUAAUUCUAAAGAAUAACAAAUUCAUCAUAUUUUCUUUCAUAAAACAUGGUCACUAAUUACAGCUAAAAUCUUACAUAUUUAGUAAAAAAAUCUUCUGAAACUUCACCAUAAAUCUCAGAAAAUAGUAUAAAAUCUUACAUAAUUAGUAAAGAAUCUUGCAACUUCUUCAGAUAUUCCAAAUCAUAAAAUCUUCUCAAAUAUAAAACCCAAUAAACUACUUUAAAUGCUUAGUCUAAUACAUCCCCAAGGUUGCUACAUGUCAAUGUUUGCUAAUAAUAUAGAUUUAUGGUAAGUCAAUAUAUAAAAGAUUAUAGCUAUAAUAUUUUAUGUAUUCCGCAAUCAAAAAUUCAAUAUUUUAUGGUCAAAUCAUAUAAUAUAAUUUGAUCACCUAAAUUGUACUAUAAAAACAAAUGAGCUGUAGUCUUCAAACUCACAACUGAAAUAAAAAAAACAAAAAGAUAUUUACUUAGGAAAAUGAAAACUGUUUCUUUUAAACUUUUGCUUUUGCUUUUGAUAUCUACCCUUCUCGUCACCGUUAGAGGAUAUAUCAAGUGUGAAACAACCGAUCAAUGUAUGGACGCAUGUAAAUGCGAAGAUGCAUUUUGUGACCUUCAUAGGUGCUACUUUGGGAAAAAAGCUAGGAAUAAAAUUAAUGUUGGUUCUUCAAGAAACAAUUAUCUUGCAGAAAAUAAAAGAUGUGGUGGUGGUAGUGGAGGACCUCCACCUACCAAUUAAAAUGAUAAAAGUGUCUUUAUAUGUCUAACAAUAAAACUUAUUUGCUGAAUAAAAAUACAAAUUCGUUAAAGAA